UUGAGGGUCAAGCAGUGGUCUGGUUUAAUGAGGGAUACCUUCCCAGUAUUUAUGCAGGUCUCCCACCUGGUGGACACUCCCCUAGGGGACCAAAAGGGAGACUGUGACAAAGGACAGACAUGAACCAAUGACAGACACAAAGAGGUAAAACCUCCCCACAAUGCAUCCUAACUUCCCUCCCUCUGUCCUGGAGAUAAUUGGGAAGUAAUCCAAUUAUCUCCCAGGACAGAGGUAAAACUCCAUUACCCACAUGGUUACAGUAAAAUACUAAAACACAAUAAAAUACACAAUAUUACAUUUAUCACACAAAAUAUAUACUUGCAACUCAUCCCCAGAUAGCUGGGAUCUGAGCGCACAAAAGACAGACAUGAACCAAUGAGACACACAGAGGUAAAACCUCCCCACAAUGCAUCCUUACUUCCCUCCCUCUGUCCUGGAGAUAAUUGGGAAGUAAUCCAAUUAUCUCCCAGGACAGAGGCAAAACUCCAUUACCCACAUGGUUACAGUAAAAUACUAAAACACAAUAAAAUACACAAUGUUACAUUUGUCACACAAAAUAUAUACAUGUAACCCAUCCCCAGCUAGCCGGAUCUGAGCGCACAAAAGUACCGAAUAGCGCUCAGAUCCUAUGCACACAGUCCAAUCGCCGUGGAGUCAAAGUGUUCACAAAGUCUGUUCUCCAUACGAAUAGACUCCACAGGAUGGCUAUCUGGGGUAUGGUGUAUUCAGGUACAAACUAUCGAAUAUAGGGCCGUUGGUGCACUUCUACCGAACAAGAAGGGAGGUUGGCGGCUUCAGCGGUGUUCGAGCCAAAAUGUAUCUGUAACGGCACCCUCAGCAUAAAAGGGUUAAACCGCCGUUUAGGUGAUUUUCCCCUUCCAGAGACACAGGCACAGCUACUGCAGAACACCAAUCCGCCGAACAGGAAACCAUAUGAAUGCUGUAAACAGCCGAAUAGGAAAAACCAUACGAAUAGGUUUACACUCCUAGCAGUCGAACUGGAACAGCAUACGAUAAAUCCCCCCAAGAACGAGACAAGGCUAUGUUUUGAGGGUCAAGCAGUGAACAGACAGAGCUGUGGGUUUAUUGUUCUUAUGUACACAUUCUUACACAUUAGUACCACCCACAGGGUUUUGGAACACAACCAAUAACCACAUACAAUACACUCAGACACUCCCACACAAAAUCCUCCCCUCUGCCUGUGAUUCAAUUACCUUACACAAUGGGUAAUGUAAUUAUAACAAGCAGAGA